rnacentral:rRNA from 1 species
CGCGUGAGGAACCUGCCUUCAGGAUGGGGACAACAGACGGAAACGACUGCUAAUACCGAAUAAGUUCCAAGAGCCGCAUGGCCCAUGGAAGAAAAGGUGGCCUCUACCUGUAAGCUAUCGCCUGAAGAGGGGUUUGCGUCUGAUUAGCUGGUUGGAGGGGUAACGGCCCACCUAGGCGACGAUCAGUCGCCGGUCUGAGAGGAUGAACGGCCACACUGGAACUGAGACACGGUCCAGACUCCUACGGGAGGCAGCAUG